GACAGAUUUCAUGGAAGACCAUCCUGGUGUGAAGAGAUUCUGUUGGCCGUCGCUGGGACGGAUGCAAGUGAAGACUUUGAGGAUGCCGGUCAUGGCAGUGCUGCAAGACUAAUGCUAGAUGAAUUCUACGUUGGAGAGAUCGAUCCAUCGACUUUGCCUAAAACAACAUAUUCAAAUGCACCAUCUAAGAACAUCGAGGACAAGUCAUCGGAUUCCAUCACCAAGUUCUUACCAUUUUUCUUCGUCCCCAUAGCCAUCUUUGUUGUGGCUGUUGGCAUUCACUUGUAUACCUAACCAGCCCCUAUUUAUGGAUUGAGUUUCAGGGUAUGUGUACAUGCAGUUUGAUAUGGUGGGAUUGUGGAAAGUGUGCUUAACUACCAAAUGUCAUUACAAUUUACUAGUCUUAAUUUCCUUUUCCUUUAUAAAUAUGAAUUUACCUUUUUCAGAACAAA